rnacentral:rRNA from 1 species
CCGGCUAACUUCGUGCCAGCAGCCGCGGUAAUACGAAGGGACCUAGCGUAGUUAGGAAUUAAUGGGAUUAAAGAGUUCGUAGGUGGUUAAAAAAGUUGGUGGUGAAAUCCCAGAGCUUAACUUUGGAACUGCCAUCAAAACUUUUUAGCUAGAGUUUGAUAGAGGAAAGCAGAAUUUCUAGUGUAGAGGUGAAAUUCGUAGAUAUUAGAAAGAAUACCAA